AGCUCAGUUGAUAGACAUCCGGCGUAAAGAGUGGUUAGGAAGUCUUUUAAACUAAAGCCGAAUACCCUCAGAACUGUUAUACGUACCCGAGGGAAAGAAGCCCCACUACGAAAGUGGCUUUAUAUCUCCGACCCCACGAAAGCUGCGAAACAAACUGGGAUUAGAUACCCCACUAUGCCCAGCCCUAAACUUUGAUAGCCCACUACACCCGCUAUCCGCCCGGGUACUACGAGCACUAGCUUAAAACCCAAAGGACUUGGCGGUGCUUUAGACCCACCUAGAGGAGCCUGUUCUAGAACCGAUAACCCCCGUUAAACCUCACCCUCUCUUGUUCUUCCCGCCUAUAUACCGCCGUCGUCAGCUUACCCUAUGAAGGAGCCACAGUAAGCAGAACUAGUACAACUCAAAACGCCAGGUCGAGGUGUAGCAUAUGAGAGGGGAAGAAAUGGGCUACAUUCCCUGCCACAGGGAAUACGAACAAUGUAAUGAAAUACGCAUUAGAAGGAGGAUUUAGCAGUAAGCAGAAAAUAGAGCGUUCCGCUGAAACCGGCCCUGAAGCGCGCACACACCGCCCGUCACUCUCCCCAAGCCAACCAACACCCCAUAAAUAAUACAUUUUACCGGUAAAGGGGAGGCAAGUCGUAACAUGGUAAGUGUACCGGA
rnacentral:rRNA from 1 species